rnacentral:rRNA from 1 species
AACGAACGCUGGCGGCGUGCCUAACACAUGCAAGUCGUGCGAGAAAGUUCCUUCGGGAGCGAGUAAAGCGGCGCACGGGUGAGUAACACGUAGGUAACCUGCCCCUAAAGUCUGGAACAACUAGAGGAAACUCUAGCUAAUGCCGGAUAAGACCACGAUCCCCUCGGGGGUUGCGGCCAAAGAUGGCCUCUACUUGUAAGCUAUCGCUGAGGGAUGGGCCUGCGGGCCAUUAGCUUGUUGGUGAGGUAACGGCUCACCAAGGCUGUGAUGGCUAGCUGGUCUGAGAGGAUGACCAGCCACACUGGGACUGAGACACGGCCCAGACUCCUACGGGAGGCAGCAGUGGGGAAUAUUGCGCAAUGGCGAAAGCCUGACGCAGCGACGCCGCGUGGUGAUGAAGGCC